UGAGGGAUAUUGGGCAAUGGGGGAAACCCUGACCCAGCGACGCCGCGUGAGGGAAGACGGUCUUCGGAUUGUAAACCUCUGUCUUUGGGGACGAAAAAGGACGGUACCCAAGGAGGAAGCUCCGGCUAACUACGUGCCAGCAGCCGCGGUAAUACGUAGGGAGCGAGCGUUGUCCGGAAUUACUGGGUGUAAAGGGAGCGUAGGCGGGAAGGCAAGUUGGAUGUGAAAACUGUGGGCUCAAUCUACAGACUGCAUUCAAAACUGUUUUUCUUGAGUGAAGUAGAGGCAAGCGGAAUUCCUAGUGUAGCGGUGAAAUGCGUAGAUAUUAGGAGGAACACCAGUGGCGAAGGCGGCUUGCUGGGCUUUUACUGACGCUGAGGCUCGAAAGUGUGGGGAGCAAACAGGAUUAGUACC
rnacentral:rRNA from 1 species